UUACCGGCUUGACAUGUCUGAAACCCUUCGGGAACAGGUGCUGCAUGGCUGUCGUCAGCUCGUGUCGUGAGAUGUUGGGUUAAGUCCCGCAACGAGCGCAACCCUACCUUAGUUGCCAUCAUCUGGGACUCUAAGGAACUGCCGGUGACAACCGGAGGAAGGUGGGGAUGACGUCAAGUCCUCAUGGCCCUUACGCCGGGCUACACACGUACUACAAUGAGGUACAAGAGGCACCGCGAGGGGAGCAAUCUCAAAACCGCCUCAAUUCGGAUUGGAGUCUGCAACUCGACUCCAUGAAGUUGGAAUCGCUAGUAAUCGCGAUCAGCAUGCGCGGUGAAUACGUUCCCGGGCCUUGUACACACCGCCCGUCACACCACGAAAGUUGUGACUGAA
rnacentral:rRNA from 1 species